UGGGGAUCUCAGCAGCCUCCCCGCCAUUCAAGACGCUGAAUUGCGUCCAAGGUUGC
rnacentral:ncRNA from 1 species